rnacentral:rRNA from 1 species
GACGAACGCUGACGGCGUGCUUUAGACAUGCAAGUCGAACGAGAAAGCCCUUCGGGGUUAGUAAAGUGGCGAACGGGUGAGUAACACGUGGGCAAUCUGCCCUUCGUUGGGGGACAGCCGGGGGAAACCCCGGCUAAUACCCCGUAAGCUUGUCGGGUCGCAUGGCCUGACAAGGAGAGGUAGCUUCGGCCAUCCGGCGAAGGAGGAGCCCGCGGUACAUUAGCUAGUUGGUGAGGUAAAGGCCCACCAAGGCGACGAUGUAUAGCUGGUCUGAGAGGAUGAUCAGCCACACUGGGACUGAGACACGGCCCAGACUCCUACGGGAGGCAGCAGUCGGGAAUCUUGCACAAUGGGCGAAAGCCUGAUACAGCAACGCCGUGUGAGCGACGAAGGCCCUAGGGUCGUAAAGCUCUGUUGUUAGGGACGAAGGGCGAAGGGUUAAUAGCCCUUAGCCUGACGGUACCUUUCGAGGAAGCCCCGGCUAACUACGUGCCAGCCGCCGCGGUAACAC